AACAUGCUUCUUAAUCGCCCAUUUAGAAGCUGCAUGACCACCGAUAAGUCAUUAACCAACCUGUGCCUUAGUUUUUUUUUUAACUGUUUGAUGGAGAUACCAGUGACUACCUCAGAGGCUGAGUAGGUUAGGAUCAGUGCCUGGAGAUGAACAUGCUUUGGUUGAAUGCAUGUGUAUGUAACUCUGGAUGACCACUCAUAGCACAGUAGGGGAAGGAGGCACAAGAGAGACACAAAAGAAUACAGAACACUUAUCUCAUAUUGGAUGGAAGGAGCUGGGGAGAGAGGACAUCAAAUGAAGAAGACUCUGCCGCUUGCUCAUCACUGGAACAGCUAUGAGAGAAAGAUGGAAAUGGAGACGAACAGGGUGGGGGGACUUGUGGAUUGUGGAGACGCAACCUGCCAGGGCCAAGGAGAGAGGAAGAGAGAAGAUGAGUUUCAUUCACUGUGUUUAUGUUAGGUUUGAGUGGUUUGAACAAGGGUACAGCUUAAAGAAAUGCCCAGCAGGCUGCUAAUGACAGGGAUUUGAGCAUAGGUGAGGGGUUAGUGUUUGCAAUACAGUUUUGGAUCUCUAACGUGGAGGCAAAGGUUCAAAAUGUAAGAAAAUAAACUACCUUGGAGAGCAGGAUGUAAAGACAGAAAGCUGAGGGCCCACAAUUGAGUUCUGAGGAACAUUCACUAUCCCAAAAAGCGUUGGGAACAUUGGAGAAACUUGCAGAUGAUAAGCUUCUCCAAUUGCCAGGUGAAUCCGUCUCUACUAAAGGCCCGGAGAAAUUACUUGACAUUUUAAAGGCAGACUAGGGAGAGAGUUGUUCAAUGUCAGAUAUAAGGGGAAAAUCCUUCGGAGAUACACAGAGGGAAUAAAAUAUCUCCAUCCUUCA